CUGUCAGGUUUGAGGUAAUGGUAGGUUAUACUUUGUGUAUAAUGUAUAAAGGGAGAUAAUCAAUCCAAAUGACUUCAUAGGGGUGAACAAUAAAGAUUUGUUUUAUACUGUCAGGUUUGAGGUAAUGGUAGGUUAUACUUUGUGUAUAAUGUAUUAAGGGGAGAUAAUCAAUCCAAAUGACUUCAUAGGGGUGAAAAAAAAAGAUUUGUUUUAUACUGUCAGGUUUGAGGUAACGGUAGGUUAUACUUUGUGUAUAAUGUAUAAAGGGGAGAUAAUCAAUCCAAAUGACUUCAUAGGGGAUGAACAAAAAAAUUUGUUUUAUACUGUCAGGUUUGAGGUAAGGGUAGGUUAUACUUUGUGUAUAAUGUAUUAAGGGGAGAUAAUCAAUCCAAAUGACUUCAUAGGGGUGAACAAAAAAGAUUUGUUUUAUACUGUCAGGUUUGAGGUAAUGGUAGGUUAUACUUUGUGUAUAAUGUAUAAAGGGGAGAUAAUCAAUCCAAAUGACUUCAUAGGGGGUGAACAAUAAAG
rnacentral:lncRNA from 1 species